GUGCUCGCUUCAGCAGCACAUAUACUGAAAUUGGAAUGAUACAAAGAAGAUUAGCAUGGCCCACGUGCAAGGAUGACAUGCAAAUUUGUGAAGUGUUUCAUAUUUUU